rnacentral:lncRNA from 1 species
CACUAGUUGAUGGGAUGUUAUGCUCCCAUGUGAUCUCGUUCCUUUUUAUUUAUUUUUGUUCUCGUUUUUGCAUUGAGGACACUACACAAUUCAAGUUGGGGGGUGAGGGUUAGCUUUUUAUAGCAUAUUUCUUAUUUAAAUAGAUUAAUUAGUAGGUUAGCUUUUUAUAGCAUAUUUCUUAUUGAAAUAGAUUAAUUAGUAUAAAGUAGUAAAAAUUAAAUAGAUUAAUUAGUAUAAAGUAGUAAAAAUUUUGAAAAAAAAAAAAUUUUGGUUAAAUUUUUACUUAAUCAGUGGUUUAAAGAU